CUUCACAAACAUCCAAAUAUCUCCCUGGCUGUGAUAUGUAGGUUCCCAACCAUACAAACCAGAAUGAGACUCAACCUCUCCUUAUAGAAUACCUGACUCUCUUCUGUAUCAUGGUGUGCUGCUGUUACAAAGGUCAGCCCAGGUGCCAAGACAGAAGUGUACCUUUUACCUGCAUCAUCAGGCUCCUUCCACAAAUAGAUAUAGUUGUACUCAAGGCCAGAAUCCUAUAUCACAUGAUCUUUCUGGAGAUUGGUUGUAUACUUGCGCUUCUUGGUGACCAUGACCUAAACUUUAUCCUUUCUUCCCAUUCUUAUGCCUCCAUGACUAAAGUUAAGUUAUACUUUGAGUGAGGUAGGUAAAACGCAUACAACAUAAAAGACCUUCUGUGUCUCAGCAUUACUAGGUGGUUUGCUUCUUUUGUGGAACUCUAAACCCUCUAAAGCAUCUACAACGGACCAGCAGAAAUGGAGCAAGAUUGCUGGUAGUCUCCAACAACCCUGUGGCCUCAAGGCAAAUCACCUAAUCACUCCAGCUUGUAGGUCAGCAGAAUAAAGGAAACAUACACAUAUACAACAGUAAUGAGCAAUACAAUAUGGAAAAUAAUAAACAAAUACAUGGAAAUUCAAGAGAGAAAGAUCAGUUCCUGCUUUGGGAUCAGGGAAAGUGUCAUGGAGCCAUUUGAUAUGGACCAUGAAAUGACCCAUCAUUGAACCUCACCAUUCUACCAUAUCCUUUACCUGCUGAAGCUAUCUGUGGAGAAAUCUCUUUCCCGCCACCUGGAAGAUGGGAAGAGUCAAGGAUAAGUCGUCUCUUUUCCAAAAAAGGGACAAAAAUGAAGAUGUAGGAACUAUGGACACAUUUUCCCACAUAAAUACUAAAUUCUUAUGUUUAUGAUAUAGUAAAUAGAUCUUAAGAUAUCCUAAGUUCAGUGAAAAUCAUGAAUGAGAUAGUCCAAUACAGUAACUUACAAAAAUAUCUUAGAUUGAACAAAAAAGAAGCCCAGAUCAAAACAAAGGUUAUACCUACAUAGAGCCAAAAUUCCUAGAGGCAAAGUGAAAAAAGAUCAGUCUGUGUUAUAUGGUGCUAGAUAUCUAGACAUGUGUAAACAAGAGACUGACUGACUUUUUCACUUUUCAAUCAAGUAUUUGAUAUUGUGUUCACAGCCAAUGAGUUCAAUAAAGAAUAAAGAGUGACUGUAGAACUGGGCAACUUGAAUUAGAAAAGAGGCCCUGAUACCUAUUACUAAUUACUGGUACUUAUAAUAUAGGGCUUUAAGGCUUGUGAAAUACUUUUCACAGAUUAUCUUAUUUUGUGCCUCUAGUUCCUCACCCUUGAAGUAGGGAUAAUAAUAUUUGCACAAUCUACGUGAAAGAGUUGUGAGGAAAGCUCUUUAUAAAACUUUAAACGUGACAUGUUCUUGAAAGCUAAAAAUAACCACAGAAAAAUGUUUUUUUCCAACACAAAUUUCUCCUUUUCAAGUGACCAUUUGAAUCAUUCAACCAAAUUAUUUAAAUGAAGGCGGCUAGACCUUUAGAUUCUAUGGUAAUGUGUCCUUUAGGAGAAAUAAGAUCAAACUACAU